GGUCUUGUAGCUCAGCUGGUAGAACGCGCGCUGUACGAAAAGCUCAGGCGGCGUCCGUGCGUGGGUUCGAAUCCCGCCGAGGCUA
rnacentral:tRNA from 1 species